rnacentral:rRNA from 1 species
GAUGAACGCUGGCGGCGUGCCUAAUACAUGCAAGUAGAACGCUGAAGGAAGGAGCUUGCUCUUUCCGGAUGAGUUGCGAACGGGUGAGUAACGCGUAGGUAACCUGCCUGGUAGCGGGGUAUCACUAUUGGAAACGAUAUCUAAUACCGCAUAACAGCAGAUGUUGCAUGAUAUCUACUUAAAAGGUGCAAUUGCACCACUAACAGAUGGACUUGCGUUGUAUUAGCUUGUUGGUGUGGUAGCGGCUCACCAAGGCGACGAUCCAUAGCCGACCUGAGAGGGUGAUCGGCCACACUGGGAGUGGGACACGGCCCAGACUCCUACGGGAGGCAGCAGGAGGGAAUCGGCGGCAAUGGACGGAAGUCUGACCGAGCAACGCCGCGGGAGUGAAGAAGGUUGUCGGAUCGUAAAGCUCUGUUGUAAGAGAAGAACGAGUGUGAGAGUGGAAAGUUCACACUGUGACGGUAUCUUACCAGAAAGGGACGGCUAACUACGUG